rnacentral:rRNA from 1 species
AGGGUGUAAACGCUGCAGACUUGGUGUUGGAAAUCCUUCGAGGGUAUUCAGUGCCGGAGAGAAGUUGUUAAGUCUGCUACUUGGGGAGUACGUCCGCAAGGAUGAAACUUAAAGGAAUUGGCGGGGGAGCACCGCAACGGGAGGAGCGUGCGGUUUAAUUGGAUUCAACGCCGGGAAGCUCACCGGAUAAGACAGCGGAAUGAUUGCCGGGCCGAAGACUCUGCAUGACUAGCUGAGAGGUGGUGCAUGGCGUAGACGUCU